rnacentral:rRNA from 1 species
UACGGGGGGGGCAAGCGUUGUUCGGAAUUACUGGGCGUAAAGGGCGCGUAGGCGGCUUACUAAGUCGGACGUGAAAUCCCUCGGCUCAACCGAGGAACUGCGUCCGAUACUGGCAGGCUGGAAUCCGGGAGAGGGAUGUGGAAUUCCAGGUGUAGCGGUGAAAUGCGUAGAGAUGCGGAGGAACACCGAUGGCGAAGGCAGCCCCCUGGGUCGACACUGACGCUCAGGCACGAAAGCGUGGGGAGCAAACAGG